rnacentral:rRNA from 1 species
GUGGCGGCGUGCUUACCAUGCAGUCGAACGGUGAAGUCGGAGCUUGCUCCGGCGGAUCAGUGGCGAACGGGUGAGUAACACGUGAGUAACCUGCCCCCGACUCUGGGAUAACUGCUAGAAAUGGUAGCUAAUACCGGAUAUGACGACUGGCCGCAUGGUCUGGUCGUGGAAAGAAUUUCGGUUGGGGAUGGACUCGCGGCCUAUCAGGUUGUUGGUGAGGUAAUGGCUCACCAAGCCUACGACGGGUAGCCGGCCUGAGAGGGUGACCGGCCACACUGGGACUGAGACACGGCCCAGACUCCUACGGGAGGCAGCAGUGGGGAAUAUUGCACAAUGGGCGAAAGCCUGAUGCAGCAACGCCGCGUGAGGGAUGACGGCCUUCGGGUUGUAAACCUCUUUUAGUAGGGAAGAAGCGAAAGUGACGGUACCUGCAGAAAAAGCACCGGCUAACUACGUGCCAGCAGCCGCGGUAAUACGUAGGGUGCAAGCGUUGUCCGGAAUUAUUGGGCGUAAAGAGCUCGUAGGCGGUUUGUCGCGUCUGCUGUGAAAUCCCGAGGCUCAACCUCGGGUCUGCAGUGGGUACGGGCAGACUAGAGUGCGGUAGGGGAGAUUGGAAUUCCUGGUGUAGCGGUGGAAUGCGCAGAUAUCAGGAGGAACACCGAUGGCGAAGGCAGAUCUCUGGGCCGUAACUGACGCUGAGGAGCGAAAGCAUGGGGAGCGAACAGGAUUAGAUACCCUGGUAGUCCAUGCCGUAAACGUUGGGAACUAGAUGUGGGGACCAUUCCACGGUCUCCGUGUCGCAGCUAACGCAUUAAGUUCCCCGCCUGGGGAGUACGGCCGCAAGGCUAAAACUCAAGAGAAUAUGGACG